CACCUCUAGCAUUACCAGUAUUAGAGGCACUGCCUGCCCAGUGACAUUAGUUUAACGGCCGCGGUAUCCUGACCGUGCAAAGGUAGCAUAAUCAUUUGUUCCUUAAUUAGGGACUUGUAUGAAUGGCCCCACGAGGGUUUAACUGUCUCUUACUUUUAAUCAGUGAAAUUGACCUUCCCGUGAAGAGGCGGGAAUACAAAAAUAAGACGAGAAGACCCUAUGGAGCUUAAAUUAAAGUGUCCAACAAAAUUUAAACUUAAUCCAACAGGAAUAAUAACAUUUUAACUGGACAACAAAUUUUGGUUGGGGUGACCUCGGAGUAUAACAAAACCUCCGAGCGAUUAUAACCAAGACUUACCCGUCAAGGUGUCAUAAUUUAUUGAUCCAAUCAUAUUGAUCAACGAAACAAGUUACCCUAGGGAUAACAGCGCAAUCCUAUUUAAGAGUCCAUAUCGACAAUAGGGUUUACGACCUCGAUGUUGGAUCAGGACCCCCAAAUGGUGCAGCAGCUAUUAAAGGUUCGUUUGUUCAACG
rnacentral:rRNA from 1 species